AUUGAACGCUGGCGGCAUGCCUUACACAUGCAAGUCGAACGGCAGCACGGGUGCUUGCACCUGGUGGCGAGUGGCGAACGGGUGAGUAAUACAUCGGAACAUGUCCUGUAGUGGGGGAUAGCCCGGCGAAAGCCGGAUUAAUACCGCAUACGAUCUACGGAUGAAAGCGGGGGACCUUCGGGCCUCGCGCUAUAGGGUUGGCCGAUGGCUGGUGAGCUAGUUGGUGGGGUAAAGGCCUACCAAGGCGACGAUCAGUAGCUGGUCUGAGAGGACGACCAGCCACACUGGGACUGAGACACGGCCCAGACUCCUACGGGAGGCAGCAGUGGGGAAUUUUGGACAAUGGGCGAAAGCCUGAUCCAGCAAUGCCGCGUGUGUGAAGAAGGCCUUCGGGUUGUAAAGCACUUUUGUCCGGAAAGAAAUCCUUGGCUCUAAUACAGUCGGGGGAUGGCGGUACCGGAAGAAUAAGCACCGGCUAACUACGCGCCAGCCGCCGCAGUAA
rnacentral:rRNA from 1 species